rnacentral:rRNA from 1 species
AGACGGGGCCCGCACAAGCAGUGGAGUAUGUGGUUUAAUUCGAAGCAACGCGAAGAACCUUUACCAGGGCUUGACAUCCCUUGAAGCAGCUAGAGAUAGCUGUGUCCUUCGGGACAAGGAGACAGGUGGUGCAUGGUUGUCGUCAGCUCGUGUCGUGAGAUGUUGGGUUAAGUCCCGCAACGAGCGCAACCCCUGUGGUUAGUUGCCAGCAAGUAGCGUUGGGCACUCUAGCGAGACUGCCGGUAAUAACCGGAGAAGUGGGAUGACGUCAAAUCAUCAUGCCCCUUAUGACCUGGGCUACACACGUGCUACAAUGGUUGGUACAACGAGUUGCGAGUCGGUGACGGCGAGCUAAUCUCUUAAAGCCAAUCUCAGUUCGGAUUGUAGGCUGCAACUCGCCUACAUGAAGUCGGAAUCGCUAGUAAUCGCGGAUCAGCACGCCGCGGUGAAUACGUUCCCGGGCCUU